GACGUAGGGCGCGAGCGUUGUCCGGAUUUAUUGGGCGUAAAGAGCUCGUAGGCGGUCUGUCGCGUCGAAUGUGAAAACCCGGGGCUCAACCCCGGGCCUGCAUUCGAUACGGGCAGACUAGAGUUCGGUAGGGGAGUCUGGAAUUCCUGGUGUAGCGGUGAAAUGCGUAGAUAUCUGGAGGAACACCGGUGGCGAAGGCGGCGUCCUGGACCAACACUGACACUGAGGAGCGAAAGCCAGGGGAGCAAACGGG
rnacentral:rRNA from 1 species